rnacentral:rRNA from 1 species
GAUGAACGCUGGCGGCGUGCCUAAUACAUGCAAGUCGAGCGAACAGAUGAGGAGCUUGCUCCUCUGACGUUAGCGGCGGACGGGUGAGUAACACGUGGAUAACCUACCUAUAAGACUGGGAUAACUUCGGGAAACCGGAGCUAAUACCGGAUAAUAUAUUGAACCGCAUGGUUCAAUAGUGAAAGACGGUUUUGCUGUCACUUAUAGAUGGAUCCGCGCCGCAUUAGCUAGUUGGUAAGGUAACGGCUUACCAAGGCAACGAUGCGUAGCCGACCUGAGAGGGUGAUCGGCCACACUGGAACUGGGACACGGUCCAGGCUCCUACGGGAGGCAGCAGUAGGGAAUCUUCCGCAAUGGUCGAAAGCCUGACGGAGCAACGCCGCGUGAGUGAUGAAGGUCUUCGGAUCGUAAAACUCUGUUAUUAGGGAAGAACAAAUGUGUAAGUAACUAUGCACGUCUUGACGGUACCUAAUCAGAAAGCCACGGCUAACUACGUG